UUUCUGACUCUCAAGGAAGUCUUGAAUAUACUUUCAGAGAAAUGGCAGCACAAGCGGUAGUCAUUUGGGAAGAAGCAAGUCUGGAAGAAAAGUAUCCUGAAGAGUAGCACCAAGAGGGAUUCAAAUAAAUAUCUGCACUGGUCAGAAAUGGUUCAUGUAAACCCUAAACAAGAUCAUCCUUAAAGAUUAAUUAAGGGAAUGAUGUUAACAGCCAUUAAUGUAAUUUUAUUUGUAUAAAAGAGAGACACCUGAUCAUCUUAUAUGACAAAUGGAAACUUUCUAACCCCUUUUCUAAGAAAGUUUAUAUAUCUAAGGUUUGCGAACAUUAAUGAUUUUCUUAAACUGUAAUAUCUGUCUACACAAGUGUUUAUUCUUCUUCCUCUUACCUUGUAUGAUUUGGUAACAUUGUGUGUGAAUAUCUGUCGAGGAUACAGUGUUCUCAUGCUACAGAUUUAAACAAGUCCCAUUGCUGAAGGAAUAUCCUCAUCCUCUUAGGCACACACAUAGCAUAGUAAAAAGGUCACCAAAUAACAACAAAGGAGGGCUGAAGUCUAUCUUGGUUCUGUCUUUUACUCAUUUUCUGAGUUUCCAUUUUCUCAUUAGCAAAAUAAAGUAAUUGGAUUGGGUAUUCUGUGAAACCUCCUCUGGUUUUAAAAUGCACAGGUUCAUAGGCUUCAGGAGACCUGGAAUAAAAGAAGCUCAUACUCAGUGGCAGAUGUGUCCUUAUAAGGUUCUGAGAAAAAAGAGACUGAAGUGCUGGAGCAAUUGAGAAACCUUCUGUGGGGCUGCCAUGUGUACAGGACCUAGAAUACAUAACCUGAGAAGGAAGAGAUGAGGGGCAGGAGUUCACAGGGCAUGUGGAGGAGACCAUGGAAGGCUUAAAAAUGGCUAGAUCUAAAUAGAGCCCCUGGCACACAUCUGAGUGCUAAAGAAAUUCUGUUCCUUAUUUCCUUGAAGAGGAUAAUAAUGGUCAUUGCAGAAAGUUUUAGUAGCUGAGACUGAUGAUGUAAUGAGCAGUUUCCUGAGGGGAAAGCCAUGAAGGUGAACUGGAUUUUAAACAUAGAACACUGGUCAAAGGCUCUUUGACUGUUCCAUAUAGGGGAGUUCCCAGUUUGUACUGCCUAGUGCAACUAAGUAUCGAAUAAGAUAUGAUACUUCUGAGUCCCAAUUAAGGCUUUCUUCAAAUUCAAGUGCCAAGGCAUAAGGUCAACCUGUAGAAACAUUCCAAACAUUCCAGCCAAACCUUUGUCCCUGAGCAAAAAUGGAAGUGGGUUUCCAGGCCUGAAUGGAAGCUACAAGAAAGUUCAAACUCAAGGAUUGAUAGAACUGUACUUUUCUAGGACCUGUUUAGCACAGAUUUUUGACGAAUAGUACUGGGUACUUUUUCAAUACCUUAUUAGCAUAAGUAUUGAUCAUUGCUCCUACUCAGUUACUAUAUAAAUCCCUAGACUAUACACUUAAGCAGCAACCUAGUAUUUGGUCCCCUCUCACUCUGGGAGCAUUCUUUCUCUUAACAUUUAAAUAAAUCCUAUUCUUUUUACUCUUACCAUU